rnacentral:rRNA from 1 species
UACGUAGGGUGCGAGCGUUGUCCGGAAUUAUUGGGCGUAAAGAGCUUGUAGGCGGUGUGUCACGUCGUUCGUGAAAACCUGCAGCUUAACUGUGGGCGUGCGGUCGAUACGGGCAUCACUGGAGUUCGGCAGGGGAGACUGGAAUUCCUGGUGUAGCGGUGAAAUGCGCAGAUAUCAGGAGGAACACCGGUGGCGAAGGCGACAUCCUGGACCGGUAUUGACGCUGAGGCGCGAAAGCCAGGGGAGCAAACGGG